UACGUAGGCAGCGAGCGUUGUUCGGAGUUACUGGGCGUAAAGAGUGCGUAGGCGGUGCUCCAAGUCUGGUGUGAAAUCUCCCGGCUCAACUGGGAGGGUGCGCCGAAAACUGCAAGGCUGGAGUGUGGGAGAGGUAGGCGGAAUUCCUGGUGUAGCGGUGAAAUGCGUAGAUAUCAGGAGGAACACCUGUGGUGUAGACGGCUUACUGGACCAUGACUGACGCUGAGGCACGAAGCGUGGGGAGCAAACAGG
rnacentral:rRNA from 1 species